AGUGAACGCUGGCGGUAGGCCUAACACAUGCAUGUCGAACGGCAGCACAGUAAGAGCUUGCUCUUACGGGUGGCGAGUGGCGGACGGGUGAGGAAUACAUCGGAAUCUACUUUUUCGUGGGGGAUAACGUAGGGAAACUUACGCUAAUACCGCAUACGACCUACGGGUGAAAGCAGGGGAUCUUCGGACCUUGCGCGAUUGAAUGAGCCGACGUCGGAUUAGCUAGUUGGCGGGGUAAAGGCCCACCAAGGCGACGAUCCGUAGCUGGUCUGAGAGGAUGAUCAGCCACACUGGAACUGAGACACGGUCCAGACUCCUACGGGAGGCAGCAGUGGGGAAUAUUGGACAAUGGGCGCAAGCCUGAUCCAGCCAUACCGCGUGGGUGAAGAAGGCCUUCGGGUUGUAAAGCCCUUUUGUUGGGAAAGAAAAGCAGCAGGUUAAUACCCCGCUGUUCUGACGGUACCCAAAGAAUAAGCACCGGCUAACUUCGUG
rnacentral:rRNA from 1 species